rnacentral:rRNA from 1 species
AUUGAACGCUGGCGGCAGGCCUAACACAUGCAAGUCGAACGAGUGGCGGACGGGUGAGUAAUGUCUGGGAAACUGCCUGAUGGAGGGGGAUCAAUAGUGGAAAACGUAGCUAAUAACGCAUACCAUCAGAUGUGCCCAGAUGGGAUUAGCGUGUUGGUGGGGUAACGGCUAACCAAGGAGACGAUCCCUAGCUGGUCUGAUAGUAGGACCGGCAACAUGGGAACGGAUACCCGGCCCAGACUCCACCGGAGGGAAGCAGUGGGGAAUAUUGCACAAGGGCCGAAAGCCGGAGACAGAAAGUCCGCGUGUAUGAAGAAGGCCUUCGGGUUUUAAAGUACGUUAAGCGGGGAGACGGUACCCGCAUAAGAAGCCACGGCUAACUCCGUGCCAGCAGCCGCGGUAAUAC